UGGGGAAUUUUGGACAAUGGGCGAAAGCCUGAUCCAGCAAUGCCGCGUGUGUGAAGAAGGCCUUCGGGUUGUAAAGCACUUUUGUCCGGAAAGAAAUCCUUGGCUCUAAUACAGUCGGGGGAUGACGGUACCGGAAGAAUAAGCACCGGCUAACUACGUGCCAGCAGCCGCGGUAAUACGUAGGGUGCAAGCGUUAAUCGGAAUUACUGGGCGUAAAGCGUGCGCAGGCGGUUUGCUAAGACCGAUGUGAAAUCCCCGGGCUCAACCUGGGAACUGCAUUGGUGACUGGCAGGCUAGAGUAUGGCAGAGGGGGGUAGAAUUCCACGUGUAGCAGUGAAAUGCGUAGAGAUGUGGAGGAAUACCGAUGGCGAAGGCAGCCCCCUGGGCCAAUACUGACGCUCAUGCACGAAAGCGUGGGGAGCAAACAGGAUUAGAUACCCUGGUAGUCCCACGCCCUAAACGAUGUCAACUAGUUGUUGGGGAUUCAUUUCCUUAGUAACGUAGCUAACGCGUGAAGUUGACCGCCUGGGGAGUACGGUCGCAAGAUU
rnacentral:rRNA from 1 species